rnacentral:rRNA from 1 species
GCCAGACUCCUACGGGAGGCAGCAGUGGGGGAUAUUGCACAAUGGGGGGAACCCUGAUGCAGCGACGCCGCGUGGGUGAAGGAGUAUUUCGGUAUGUAAAGCCCUAUCGGCAGGGAAGAAGAAGGACGGUACCUGACUAAGAAGCCCCGGCUAACUACGUGCCAGCAGCCGCGGUAAUACGUAGGGGGCGAGCGUUAUCCGGAUUCACUGGGUGUAAAGGGAGCGUAGACGGCCAAGCAAGCCAGGGGUGAAAGCCCGGGGGCCAACCCCGGGACUGCCCUUGGAACUGCAUGGCUGGAGUGCGGGAGGGGCAGGCGGAAUUGCUGGUGUAGCGGUGAAAUGCGGAGAUAUCAGGAGGAACACCGGCGGCGAAGGCGGCCUGCUGGACGACGACUGACGCUGAGGCUCGAAAGCGUGGGGAGCAAAGAGGAUUAGAUACCCCUGUAU